AUCAUUAAUGAGUUAGGGUCUCCUAGGCCCGACCUCCCAACCCUUUGCUUACUAGACCUCAGUUGCUUUGGCAGGCCCGUCUUAAUCUGACCGCUGGAGGACCGCCUAAUGCGGGUGUUACCUCUGGCCAGUGUCUGCCGAUAGCCUAAUCUCCUAACUCUGGAUCAAUCAUGAUUUACAAUGUCUAAGUGAUUUUAUUCAAUUAAAAGCAAAAACUUUCAACAACGGAUCUCUUGGUUCUGGCAUCGAUGAAGAACGCAGCGAAAUGCGAUAAGUAAUGCGAAUUGCAGAAUUCCAGUGAGUCAUCGAAUCUUUGAACGCACAUUGCGCCCUUUGGUAUUCCGAAGGGCAUGCCUGUUCGAGCGUCAUUAUCACCCCCUCAAGCCCCUGUGCUUGGUGUUGGACGGCUUGGUGGAGCGAGUUCACACUUUCCACCCCUCCUAAAGACAAUGACGGCGGCCUGCGGAACCCCCGGUACACUGAGCUUCUUUAUUGAGCACGUAUCGGAUGAAGGGUGCCCGGGACCCGGUCUUCUCCCUCACGGGAACACUUUUUUUUUAAGGUUGACC
rnacentral:misc_RNA from 1 species